rnacentral:rRNA from 1 species
ACUCAAAUGAAUUGACGGGGGCCCGCACAAGCGGUGGAGUAUGUGGUUUAAUUCGAAGCAACGCGAAAAACCUUACCUGGCCUUGACAUCCUGUGACAGCUUUAGAGAUAAAGUCUCGCCUUCGGGCGCACAGAGACAGGUGCUGCAUGGCUGUCGUCAGCUCGUGUUGUGAAAUGUUCGGUUAAGUCCGGCAACGAGCGCAACCCCUGUCCUUAGUUACCAUCAUUAAGUUGGGGACUCUAGGGAGACUGCCGGUGUUAAGCCGGAGGAAGGCGGGGAUGACGUCAAGUCCUCAUGGCCCUUACGGCCAGGGCUACACACGUACUACAAUGGUAGAGACAAACCGCCGCAAGAACGUAAGUUCAAGCUAAUCGGUAAAACACUAUCUCAGUCCGGAUUGAGGUCUGCAACUCGACCUCAUGAAGUUGGAAUCGCUAGUAAUCGCGGAUCAGCACGCCGCGGUGAAUACGUUCCCGGGCCUUGCACACACCGCCCGU